rnacentral:lncRNA from 1 species
GCUUUCCAGAGCUUCCCGGACUGGAUAGAGGUAGAGGAGCGUCUCUCUGAUACUUGUCUCUGCAUGUUAAGGACAAAAUUCCUGUAAGGUAAGAAGAAGUACAAAUAGAGAGCCCUCACAGCUGGGAGAGCCCUCACAGCUGGAUCUCAGGACACUGUGGGUGGAGAGCCCUCACAGCUGGAUAUCAUUGCGAAAAUAGUGGGAUCUGAGACAAACUGCUACCUCCCUACACCUCUCUCCAGGCUCCUAUUUUUAGUUGUGACACUGAGGGAAGCAGGAUGAGGCAAAAAGUUCCACCCUCCCAGACUCUAAAGCCUCUUCUGGGACAAAGACUCUGCCAUGCUUCUCCAUGGCACACACCACAGCCAGCAUGAGUCCUUGAACACAGGACUCCAUUGUGUUUUUUGUUUUUUUUUUUUUUCAAUAAAACAUGAACUAGC